rnacentral:rRNA from 1 species
GGGUGAAGUGGAUGAUCCUAUGCUGCCGAGAAAAGCCUCUAGUGAGUGUUGUGGCGGCCCGUACCCUAAACCGACUCAGGUGGUCAGGUAGAGAAUACCAAGGCGAUCGGGUGAACUGUGGUUAAGGAACUCGGCAAAUUGCCCCCGUAACUUCGGGAGAAGGGGGACCUCUGUUGGUGAUGGGCUUUACGCCUGGAGCUGGUGGGGGUCGCAGUGGCCAGGGGGAAGCGACUGUUUACUAAAAACACAGGUCCGUGCGAAGUCGUAAGACGAUGUAUACGGACUGACGCCUGCCCGGUGCCGGAACGUUAAGGGGACCGCUUAGCUGACGUGAGUUGGCGAAGGUGAGAACUUAAGCGCCGGUAAACGGCGGUGGUAACUAUAACCAUCCUAAGGUAGCGAAAUUCCUUGUCGGGUAAGUUCCGACCUGCACGAAUGGCGUAACGACUUCCCCGCUGUCUCAACCGCAGACCCGGCGAAAUUGCACUACGAGUAAAGAUGCUCGUUUCGCGCAGCAGGACGGAAAGACCCCGGGACCUUCACUACAGCUUGACAUUGGCGUUUGGAACGUCUUGUGUAGGAUAGGUGGGAGACUGGGAAGCUGUCACGCUAGUGAUGGUGGAGUCAUUGGUGAAAUACCACUCUGGUCGUUAAACGUCUAACUCUGGUCCGUGAUCCGGAUCGGGGACAGUGUCUGGUUGGUAGUUUAACUGGGGCGGUUGCCUCCUAAAGAGUAACGGAGGCGCCCAAAGGUUCCCUCAGCCUGGUUGGCAAUCAGGUGUUGAGUGUAAGUGCACAAGGGAGCUUGACUGUGAGACUGACAGGUCGAGCAGGAGCGAAAGCUGGGACUAGUGAUCCGGCAUCGGCGUGUGGAAGCGGUGUCGCUCAACGGCUAAAAGGUACCCCGGGGAUAACAGGCUGAUCUUCCCCAAGAGUCCAUAUCGACGGGAUGGUUUGGCACCUCGAUGUCGGCUCGUCGCAUCCUGGGGCUGGAGUAGGUCCCAAGGGUUGGGCUGUUCGCCCAUUAAAGCGGUACGCGAGCUGGGUUUAGAACGUCGCGAGACAGUUCGGUCCCUAUCCGCUGCGCGCGCAGGAGACUUGAAGGGGGCUGUCCCUACUACGAGAGGACCGGGACGGACGAACCUCUGGUGUGCCAGUUGUACCGCCAGGCGCACGGCUGGUUGGCUACGUUCGGAAGGGAUAACCGCUGAAAGCAUCUAAGCGGGAAGCUCGCCUUGAGAUGAGGUCUCCCACCACGAGAGUGGGUAAGGCUCCCGGUAGACGACCGGGUUGAUAGGCCGGAGGUGGAAGCACGGUAACGUGUGGAGCUGACCGGUACUAAUAGGCCGAGGACUUGACC